rnacentral:rRNA from 1 species
AUUGAACGCUGGCGGCAUGCUUUACACAUGCAAGUCGGACGGCAGCACAGAGGAGCUUGCUUCUUGGGUGGCGAGUGGCGAACGGGUGAGUAACGCAUCGGAACGUACCGAGUAAUGGGGGAUAACUGUCCGAAAGGACAGCUAAUACCGCAUACGCCCUGAGGGGGAAAGCGGGGGAUCUUAGGACCUCGCGUUAUUCGAGCGGCCGAUGUCUGAUUAGCUGGUUGGCGGGGUAAAGGCCCACCAAGGCGACGAUCAGUAGCGGGUCUGAGAGGAUGAUCCGCCACACUGGGACUGAGACACGGCCCAGACUCCUACGGGAGGCAGCAGUGGGGAAUUUUGGACAAUGGGCGCAAGCCUGAUCCAGCCAUGCCGCGUGUCUGAAGAAGGCCUUCGGGUUGUAAAGGACUUUUGUCAGGGAAGAAAGGGGCAUGUUAAUACCGUGCUCUGAUGACGGUACCUGAAGAAUAAGCACCGGCUAACUACGUG